rnacentral:rRNA from 1 species
GUGAGGAAUAUUGGUCAAUGGGCGGGAGCCUGAACCAGCCAAGUCGCGUGAAGGAAGAAGGAUCUAUGGUUCGUAAACUUCUUUUGCAGGGGAAUAAAGUGCAGGACGUGUCCUGUUUUGUAUGUACCCUGAGAAUAAGGAUCGGCUAACUCCGUGCCAGCAGCCGCGGUAAUACGGAGGUUCCGAGCGUUAUCCGGAUUUAUUGGGUUUAAAGGGUGCGUAGGUGGUUUGAUAAGUCAGCGGUGAAAGUUUGCAGCUUAACUGUAAAAAUGCCGUUGAAACUGUCGGACUUGAGUGUAAAUGAGGUAGGCGGAAUGCGUGGUGUAGCGGUGAAAUGCAUAGAUAUCACGCAGAACUCCGAUUGCGAAGGCAGCUUACUAAGCUACAACUGACACUGAAGCACGAAAGCGUGGGGAUCAAACAGGAUUAGAAACCCUGGUAGUCC